AACCAAGCAAAAGUCACUGUCAGGGGACCUCCCACCCACCAUACAGGGGAACACUCGGCAGAGCCAGAGGCCUGGGCCCAAGUCCUGCCACCAGCUGGCUGUGAAACUGUGGUACAGCACCUUGUGUCCUGCCACCAGCCGGCUGUGAAACUGGUACAGCACCUUGUCCUCAGGUCCUUGGUUUCCUCACUUGUAAAUUCAUGGUUCUCCAUGGCAUCUCUGGUCUUCAACAUUAUUUUGCAUAGAGUCUCAGAAGCUUUAGUGUGAGCGGAUGAUAUGGGCACGAAGCAAGGCACCCAGAAGUGGGGGCAACUACUCUGCUUUCUAAAAUGCAAGGGAACCGGAAAAUCCAGGAGCCGUGCCAAAUGAGAAGAGGAACAAAUGGAGGAACAUCCCAGUCAAGUGACAUUCCUAGUGACAUUCACCAGAACAGAGUCAAGCUUUGGAUCCCAUGUUCUGUGACUUCCUCUUCACCACGCUUCCUCCACACACGUAGCAGCUCAAGGGUUUCUGAUGAGUGGGGUCUAUGUUCCCUUUAUGAGCUGUAACGCACACCAUGAAGGUCUGCGGCUUGGCUAUUGAGUCAGUGAGAGCGUGAACCUACUAUUAGAAGAAAAACUCUGAAUACGUCUGAACGUCAGAAAGAACGAAGUUUGGACACAUUGUCUUUAAGAACUGUAACACUCACCCCAAGGGUUUAUGGAUUCAUUCUUGAAAUCAGUGAAACCAAAAGCUUUCCAAAGUUUAACACACAGGGAAAUGACUUACUGCAAAGAACCACUCUUCCCCACGAGACUUCGAGAAGACCCGCUGUCACGGACUGAGUUGUGUCCUCUUAAAAUUCAGAUGUUGGAGUCCAAACCCCCAGUAACUCAGAGUGUGAACGUAUUUGAAGAGGUCUUUAAAGAGGUGAUGAAGGUCUUUGUCUCUGACAAUUUGCCUCUGUGACGUGGAUGGGACUGGAAGUCCAUUUGGAGCCCUGUCUUCUCCACCUAGGGAGAGAGACCCCAUGAGCUCGUCAAGCUCCUUCUGUGACUGAUCAGAGAUCCCACCGUGAGUCCAGCUCCUGGUCCCAUGCUCUGGAUAUAUCGGUCCCUGGCAGCGUGAGUGCCUCUGUGUUCACUGUCCCAUUUGAGAAUUCUAAGUAGAAUUCUGAACAGGCUGGAGCAGAUUGCCCACCCCAAGGGACAGAUGUUGGCUGGUACUGUUGGUAUUCAUGGAAGAUUCCUUCUGACACUCCCUCCUUCUUUGUAAUUGCCAUGAACUGGAGCACUGGGCCAAUAUAAAUCAUCCAAGGGUGAACACGCUGCACAUGGACGGCUCCUCUUUGUUUUUGAAGGGAUUCCAUCUCUAUUUUGCCAUGUGCUCCUUCACCCCACUCCCCACCCCCGUCUUUCAUUUCUUUCUCUGGAAAAGAUACUUCAACUCACAGGACUGCGAUGUUGAAACGGACACCCAAGAGCAUCACAGAUGGGCCAGGCCUGGACCUCUCGGGACAACAUUCCUCACGACUUUUAGAUAGAAGAGAUUAGAGAUUUGGGACUGGUGGCAACUGGUAACGUUUUCAGUGUUUGGUAAACAGCCAGGGUCCGGAGCUCUGGGAACAGCCUGAUUUAGCUCUUUGUUUAAGUUUUGUGUUAGAGGCUCCCAAGAAGCUGAUGCAGGGGAAAGAAAUUAACAACCAUGGCUCAUUCACAGCCAGGCAGCCAAAUGGACAGCUCUAUAAGACUCAAGCCGACAGCGGAGAGAGUGCAACCAAACAGCCUUGGCCCAGCUUUCAGAGGAGAACGUUAUUCACCCCAACUGCUCUGCAUCUGCCUGGAUGUCUGCCAAGAUCUGUGAGCAUUACAGCGUUGGUAUGCUUUGGGUGAGGCCUGUGGCUAUGGCAACAAGUUGGGAGCAACCCGGUCCCUGGGAAUGAGAACAGUGUCUAAAAUCAGGCAGGCGAGGGGCAGGGAGGAGAGGUAAAGGUUGGACUUGCCUGAAGAUGGAGCCGUUUUAUUGUUGUGGGUAAAGCUGCUACCAUUAGGGGCUGUUUACAGAGUGGGUGCAGCUCAAGCUGGGAGCAUGUUAGACUCAGCGACUACGAUCAACCUAUUGACUUGUUCCCAUGAGACAGAGUAAAUUAACUGUUGCAGUACUGGUCAUGUACCACCAACCUCCUGUGAACCAGCCCUCAGUGAAACAUUUAUGUGAAAGGCCAUGGUGUUCCCAUAAGAGGGUGCAUGUUCUCUCCCUUGACUAACUCUUCAGUAUGCCUCAUUCUCACGCGCUGGUGUGCAGGAAGGAGUCCAACAUGCCCCAUUGACAGUCAUGCCCUGUAUGUGGAAAGUCUUCAGGUAGAGCACUGGGCUCAGGUUUGAAGAUGUGAGUUCUAAUCCUAGCAAGGCCAUUACCUCCCAGUGACCUCAUGUCUCGAUUUCCUCAACCACAAAACAAAGGCAUUGGUGAGCUGACCUCUAAGGCCUCUCCAGUUCUCACCUUCUGUGUCUCUACAGACUGGAGACUAGAAGAUUAUGGGCACUUUUAUUGAGUCUUCAUUUUGUUUCCAUUUCUUUGUAGUCAUCAGCUGGAGUUGAGGACAAGUUUUAACAAUAGAUAGGUUUCUUUUUGUCUCUUUUUAAAAAAUUUUAUUUAAAAUAAAUGCCAAGUGUAGUGGCUCAUACCUGUAAUCCCAGCACUUUGGGGAGGCCAAGGUGGGAGGAUUGCUUUUGAGUUUGAGACCAGCCUGGGCAACGUGGUGAGACCCUGUUUGUACAAAAAAUUUUAAAUUAGCCAGGCAUGGUGGCGUGUGCCUAUAGUCCUAGCUACUCUGGAGGUAGAGGCAGGAGGAUCCCUUGAACCUGGGAGGUUGAGGCCACAGUGAGCUGUGAUUGUGCUAUUGAACUCUAGCCUGGGCAACAGAGCAAGACCCUGUCUCUUAAAAAAGACUAUUUUUUAAGAACACUUUUAGGUUCACAGCGAAAUUUGGAGGAAACUUGGCAUAUGUCAUAUGCCCCCUGCUCCCAUGCAUGCACAGCCUCUACCAUUAGCAAUGUCCCCACUCAAAUGGUACCUUUGUUGUAAUCAACAACCCUGUACUGACACAUCAUCAUCACCCAAACUCCAUAGUUCACAUUAGGUUUCACUCUUGGUGUGGUGUACAUUCCAUGGGCUUGAACAACUGUAUAAUGACAUUAUCCACCACUGCAGGAUCAUACAGAGUAGUCUCACUGCCCUAAAACUACUCUGUGCUCCACCUGUUUGUCCCUUCUUUCACUCUAAACUCCUGGCAACAACUGACCUUUUUACUGCCUCGAUAGCUUUGCCUUCUUCGGAAUGUCAUGUAGUUGAAAUCAUACAUCAUGAAGCCUUUUCAGAUUGGCUUCAUAUAGGUUUCCUUCCUUCCUUCCUCCCACCACCUUCCUUUCUUUCUGUAUUCCUAACUCUUGGAUGUAUUUUCCCCAGCAUCAUGACUUGAUGGGACUUUUGCUAAGAUAGGCAAUCAUAGAAAGUCAUAAAUCUCUUGUCAGCCUUAUUGGCUCACCUCCGAGAUGGUUCCAACACUCUUUAAGGCCCACUUUUCCAAUCCACAGAUUCCCCAGCAGAAGUCCAAGCUGCUGAGCCUCACAUCAUCUUUUGCACUAGUAAUCUUUACCACUACUUCACUGUAGCAUUUGAAAAUUUUCAUAUGAAGCCAUAGUUCUGUGUCUUUUUUUUUUUUUUUUUUUUUUUGGAGACGGAGUCUUAACCUGUUGCCCAGGCUGGAGUGCAGUGGCACAGUCUUAGCUCACUGCAAGCUCCGCCUCACGGGUUCAAGUGAUUCUUGCCUCAGCCUCCCAAGUAGCUGGGAUUACAGGCGCGCCACCAUGCCCAGCUAAAUUUGUUGGCAUUUUUAGUAGAGAUGGGGUUUCACCAUGUUGGCCAGGCUGGUCUCAAACUCCUUACCUCAGGUGAUCUGCCUGCCUCAGCCUCCCAAAGUGCUGGGAUUAAAGGUGUGAGCCACCGCACCUGGCCUGAAGCCAUAGUUCUUAACCUCAGUUGUGCAAUAGAAUUAUCUGGGGAAUUUAAAAAUUAGAAAAAACCCAUGCCCUGAAGAUUGUGAUCUAACUGGUCUUGCGUAGCGCCUGGGCAUUGGUAUUUUUUAAAUGUUUCCCAACUGAUACUAAUGUGGCCAUUCUGCAAGCCACAGUUGAAAGGCUUAUUCAAGCAUCCUGUUGCUGAAUGCAUGUCGUCCUUACCACAUGACUCUGGAGGUUUUCUUGUAUUCUGAUGUGGCUGCCCUGUUGAGGCCUGCCCCUUAGAGUGGAGAUUAUCCCCUGCAGUAGGCUGCCUGGAAUAUGAUCCCCAGUGAUCCCUGCUUCCUGGUAUUCAGGCCCUGGUGUGAUCCCUUUCCCUUGAAGCCUGGGCUGGAUUAGUGACUUGCUUCUAACCAACAGCAUAUGGCAAAAAUAAAUGUUUAUUGUUUUAAA
rnacentral:lncRNA from 1 species